rnacentral:lncRNA from 1 species
AGUUGGCAGGAUGGCAGCAGCAGACACACAGGGUGGUUAAGAACAACAAACACAGAGAAGAAAACUGAGGCAUAGAACAUUUGGGAAUGAAUCUAAGACUACACAUCUAGAAUAGCAGAGUUACAGGAAUGCAGAUGUGAUUCCUAUGGAUGAGGGUAACCUAGAGGCUAGAAGAACAAUAGGACAGAAGAAGCCUGGGUCCCUGAACAACCUUGUGGAGCAUAGACACCUACGUGGCCUGGACUGCCAGCUCACAAUGGGCCUCUCUGUGAGAGAAGGAAACUUCCCUCUUGUUUAAGCAACUGUGCUUUUGAGAAUCUCUUGGUCUAUACCCUAAUGAAUAAGGCCAUCAUAAAUGGAUAUCAAAGUAAGGAAAUUUGUGUAAAUGAUUUAAUAAAACAUUACCUCAGGUAUGAAAUAA